GCAACUAAUCCCACGAGGACUUAAUGCAUGCAGUCGCGUAGUGAUUCGAAGAUUGACGGGGAAGUACGUAAUGUCAUUUACGGGAAGACAACUUGAUGUUUGUAUCAUUCAGCUGUAAUGUGAAAUAGGAGAGUUGAAAGGAAAAUGAUUUUUAGGGUAAGAUUGUUACAUAAUAUUUCCUCAUUUAUUCUGCGACUUUGGGUUUGUGUUGGUGGAAGAACUGAUGAAUUGACCGAUUGGUUUAAUGGUAAGAAUUUAGUGAAUUACUCUGCAAAAUCUCAUAUUUUAAUGGUGAAAAUUAAGGCUAAAAAUGUCGCCUCUCUCCGAUCGAUCCCCUCCUAAAAAUGUCGCCCGGUUCCGUUGCCCCCACCACCAUCCCAACUUCGUCUAACCUAGCCUCGUCAGAUUUAUCGAUUAGGAACUUGUGUGUCUGUUAUUUAGGGGAUUGGAAUAGUGGGGAGAUGACGGGGAAGAAGCUGAGGUUAUGGACAGCUUUGACUAUCCCGGAGGUUGACGAAGGCCGCGCCGCAAGGUGGACUUCCUCCGCCGAGAUCGUCUUUGGUCACGGAUAAGAACAUUGCAACGAGGGCUGUAUGUAUAGACCAGACAAGACGAUUGUUUGGAAGAUCAUGAUUAGUGCCCCAGGGUUCCCUGUUCUGGUGGUGGCGUUGAUGGUGAAUUUGCUCUAAGGCUGCAUACUGAGUCAGGAGCCGCAAACCAAGAGGGAAGCUACAGGAUCAUCAAACCUCACAAAAGCCCUAGGAGUGGUGUAACAUCUUGCCAGUCUGGGAUUUUGGCAGCUACAGUGGCACCGGCUAGCACUGGAAUUAUGUGAUCUGCUACCCCGUUCAUGGCCCAGCUUGGUGACAUGUCUUCUCUGCUUGUCAACCCUUCUCCACAUCGAAUUCUUCAUGUUGGGUGAGUGGCUUACAUGUCUACUGCAAGGAUAUAAAGCCAAGCGUCAUUUCCUUGUCUGUAACACCUAACUAGGAUGAAGAUGCCAUGGCGACCACAGAACAGAGAAAGCACAAACUGCUGAAAGAUCAAUGUCUCAGUCCUUUCCUGGUGUCUCUCUUCUCUGGCUUGGUUGUCCAUUGGCACCAACUUUGUUGUGUGGGAAAUCAUUCACGGGACUGCGUGCUGUUGCUGUCAUGGUUGUUGUUCCUUCUUCCUCUUGGUACUGAUGGCCGUAGAUGGCUCUCGAGGUCACUCUGCCCAUGACCAUUUAGCUUUUCUGGAAAAAAAAAGGGGCAGAGUUCUAUUGUUUCUGUGCUGUCCUCAAUGCAGCAAAAACUCAUCAUGAAUUAUUGAUCCUGAUCAUGAACAGAUCAUGAGACCUCAUGUUGUUGGAAGCUGAGAAAUCAAUCAUAACUGCAUUAAAUUGUUACAAGAUACAAUGUUG